ACACAGCACUAGGAUGCAAAGAAGCCGCAUGGCAGUCUGGGGCUCUGAGGGGCCGCCAUUCUCAACUUCCUGUAAGAUUUAUUAUUUCUUGAGCAUGGAAUUCUUCAGCAUAGUAAUGAAGAUCAAGCCCAGUUCUUCGCACUUCCCACACAUCCUGGCACUGAGCAGAAUCCCCAUUCUAUUAUAUGUAUUGAACCAUCCAUGUCUCUCCAAGAUAAAGCCAACUUGACUGUGAUGGAUGACCUUAUAUAUACCUACAUUCUGCGGUUUUGGGUUCUAGAUGCUAGAAGUACAAUAAUACACUACUGGCACCUGGUGAUGAAAUUUUUGGAGUCAUAGUAUGGCAGAAUUCAUCAAAAAACAUGUUUUGAAUACUGAAGACAAGAUCUUUACUUCAAUCAUAUGCCUACCUAGCCAUGGGGAAAGGAAGAAAAAGUCAGAUGUGGAGAUAUCACUGCAAGCAAAUGGCAUUUACAGUUAAUGUGGCAGCAAAUGACCUCUUCUCUGACUUGGAUAUUCUAACUCUCUUAAGAAAGAACAAGAUAUUGCAAUUCUCUUCUUCAGAACAAAGGCUUCAAUCCUUAUAAACUCCUCAGAGACAAAAUGGACAUCCAGAACUGUAAAAGUAGAUAGAUUCCUGCCAAAUGAAGGUUCCAUGGUCUUUCCAAUAUCUAAUGGGUUUUCCAAAGGCCCAGGAAAUCUUAUGGUGACUUUAUUAUGUUUAAGUGACAGCAGAUGCUGGCGCGGAUGUGGAGAAAGAGGAACACUCCUCCAUUGUUGGUGGGAUUGCAAGCUUGUACAACCACUCUGGAAAUCAGUCUGGCGGUUCCUCAGAAAAUUGGACAUAGUACUACCGGAGGAUCCCGCAAUACCUCUCCUGGGCAUAUAUCCAGAAGAUGCCCCAACUGGUAAGAAGGACACAUGCUCCACUAUGUUCAUAGCAGCCUUAUUUAUAAUAGCCAGAAGCUGGAAAGAACCCAGAUGCCCCUCAACAGAGGAAUGGAUACAGAAAAUGUGGUACAUUCAAACAAUGGAGUACUACUCAGCUAUUAAAAGGAAUGAAUUUAUGACAUUCCUAAGCAAAUGGAUGGACCUGGAGGGCAUCAUCCUGAGUGAGGUAACCCAAUCACAAAGGAACUCGCACAAUAUGUACUCACUAAUAAGUGGAUAUUAGCCCAGAAACUUAGGAUACACAAGAUAUAAGAUACAAUUUGCUAAACGCAUGAAACUCAAGAAGAAGGAAGACCAAAGUGUGGACACUUUGCCCCUUCUUAGAAAUGGGAACAAAACACCUAUGGAAGUAGUUACAGAGACAAAAUUUGGAGCUGUGACGAAAGGAUGGACCAUCUAGUGACUGCCAUAUCCAGGGAUCCAUCCCAUAAUCAGCUUCCAAACGCUGACACCAUUGCAUACACUAGCAAGUUUUUGCUGAAAGGACCCAGAUAUAGCUGUCUCUUGUGAGACUAUGCCGGGGCCUAGCAAACACAGAAGUGGAUGCUCACAGUCAGCUAUUGGAUGGGUCACACGGCCCCCAAUGGAGGAGCUAGAGAAAGUACCCAAGGAGCUAAAGGGAACUGCAACCCUAUAGGUAGAACAACAAUAUGAACUAACCAGUACCCUGGAGCUCUUGUCUCUAGCUGCAUAUGUAUCAAAAGAUGGCCUAAUCAGCCAUCACUGGAAAGAGAGGCCCUUUGGACUUGCAAACUUUAUAUACCCCAGUACAGGGGAACACCAGGGCCAAAAAGGGGGAGUGGGUGGGUAGGGGAUUGAGGGGGUGGGUAUGGGGGACUUUUGGGAUAGCAUUGGAAAUGUAAACAAGGAAAAUACCUUAUUAAAAAAAUAAAAUAAAAAACA
rnacentral:lncRNA from 1 species